UACGGAGGGGACGAGUGUUACUCAUAAUAACUGGGCGUAAAGGGUACGUAGGUGGUUUAUUUAGUUAAAUAAAAAAAAAUAAAUUAAUAGUUUAUAACUUUAUUUAAAACGAGUGAACUAGAGUAUAAGAGAAGAAUAUGGAAUUUUUAGUGUAAGGGUGAAAUCUAACGAUAAUAAAAAGACGAUCGAAGGCGAAGGCAAUAUUCUAGAUUAUUACUGACACUGAGGUACUGAAGCAUGGGGAGCAAAUCGG
rnacentral:rRNA from 1 species